GGGGAAUAUUGGACAAUGGGGGCAACCCUGAUCCAGCAAUGCCGCGUGUGUGAAGAAGGUCUUCGGAUUGUAAAGCACUUUCGACGGGGACGAUGAUGACGGUACCCGUAGAAGAAGCCCCGGCUAACUUCGUGCCAGCAGCCGCGGUAAUACGAAGGGGGCUAGCGUUGCUCGGAAUGACUGGGCGUAAAGGGCGUGUAGGCGGUUUACACAGUCAGAUGUGAAAUCCCCGGGCUUAACCUGGGAGCUGCAUUUGAUACGUGUAGACUAGAGUGUGAGAGAGGGUUGUGGAAUUCCCAGUGUAGAGGUGAAAUUCGUAGAUAUUGGGAAGAACACCGGUGGCGAAGGCGGCAACCUGGCUCAUGACUGACGCUGAGCGCGAAAGCGUGGGAGCAA
rnacentral:rRNA from 1 species